GGGUUUUUUUGAAGGUAUUGAUGGUUGUUGAUAGGAAAACAACAUCUUAUCCAGAGUUGUGGGAACAUUCUCCUGUGGAGCUUCAGUACUUUCACCUUGCAUUCCUUGUGUUUCAUUUUUCAGAAUGGGAAGGUCCUUUCCAUAGAUGUGGCAGGAGGAGUAUUCAAGCUGAUCCUGGUUCUGGAGAGACCGGUUGCCUCUGGAGGGCAGCGGAGGUUUGCUGGAGGAGGCGGAGGCCGAGCCUCCAGCCAGCCGUCCGUGGAAAGGGGAUCUCUCUUUGAAUUGCCUUUCCCGAGGUUUCUUCCCAUGAGGAAGUUUUUCCUCGUCUUCAUAGAGAGCUUGGGCUGGAUCCAGACCUCCUCAAAAAUAAAACUUCAUUAUAAUAAAUGCAAUCAUUUAUA